UACAGAGGAUGCAAGCGUUAUCCGGAAUGAUUGGGCGUAAAGCGUCUGUAGGUGGCUUUUUAAGUCCGCCGUCAAAUCCCAGGGCUCAACUCUGGACAGGCGGUGGAAACUACCCAAGCUGGAGUACGGUAGGGGCAAUCAGAAUUCUUGGUGUAGCGGUGAAAUGCGUAGAUAUCAAGGAGGAAUACCUGAGGUGAAGACGGGUUGCUAGGCCGACACUGACGCUGAGUGCGCGAAAGCCAGGGGAGCAAAGCGGG
rnacentral:rRNA from 1 species